rnacentral:lncRNA from 1 species
AGAGCAUUAGUCUUCCAGCUUGAAGAAUAGAUUAAGAAUUGGUGGGGGCUAUAGAAACCACACAGUCCAAACCUCUUAUUUUAUGUAUGGGGAAACUGAGGCCCAAACAUAAAGGAGUAGAUUACUCAAAGGUCAGAAAUUAUAGAAUUUGAGGCACUACACUAUGGUAGAGAAAGUACUGGAUUUGGAGUGAAGAAAACGAAGAAAAUGGGGCCCAUUUCUACCUUUGAGUGAAGGAGGAAGAGCUGCUUCUAGGAGUGUUUCCGAUUUCAAGUCUUUGGAGAACAAAGGACAACCCUUCAAUCCUUCCUUGUGCUUCCUUAUCAGCUGGAGGGCAGUUUGGAGCAGAUUUGGUUAUCCCUGCUGUCUUGAAUAGGGAUAUUGCUAUGGAGUUGCUAUGGGAAAACUAUAUCCACCUUUCUUUUCUCUUGGAGUUUCUGUAUGAUAUGCCUAGACCUGGCAUUUUUUCCAGUGGCACAAGAUCAGCAUUCUUGAACAGGUCCUAAAUACUGGGGCACAAAUAAGAAAAAGGCAAUCCUUGGUCUCAAAGGGCUGAUAAUCUAAUGUGAGAAUACAACACAAAAGGAAACUCAAUUCAUGAUUUCUCCUCAUUUUCCACAGAGAAUGAUUUAAAUAAGAAUACUUUAGGGAUAGAUUUCUUUACAGGUCCUUAGAAACAAUUCACAAAUGAGAAUGCCAUAAUGGAAAGAAUUACUUGGAAAUGGAAUCAGAAGACCUGAGGCUAAGCCCCAAAUCUCCUAUUUACUUGUAAUGUGACCUUGGACAAUUUCUUCAAUCUCUCAGAGCCUCAGGCUCUUCAUCUAAAAAAAGGAAAUGAUAUUUGCUCUAUGGUCAAGGUUGUUGUAAGGACUGCAUGUAAGUGUAUAAGAAGUGUUUCAUGCCUGUAAUGUGCUACACAAAAAUAAGAGAAUGUUAGCCUUUUUGUAACACAUAAAAUGUAAUUGUUAGGUCUAUGACUGUUAUGAAACAAAGAAUAAUAAAGGAAUGAAUGAAAUAAAAUAGAGUAGUAGA